rnacentral:rRNA from 1 species
AGAGUUUGAUCCUGGCUCAGGAUGAACGCUGGCGGCGCGCCUAACACAUGCCAGGUUGUUACGAGCGAGAUGAGGACCUUUCUUUUUCAAGGGAGUGGCGAACGGGGCGAGUAACGCGGGGGUAACCUGCCUCCAUGCAGGGGGAUAACCAAUCGGAAAUCGGCUUGCUAAUACCGGCAUAAGCCGCUCAGUACCGCCAUGGUCGCCCCGGCUAAAGCCCCGACGGGAGGGGAUGGCUCCGCGGCCCAUCAGGUAGACGGCGGGGUGACGGCCCACCGUGCCGACAACGGGUAGCCGGGUUGAGAGACCGACCGGCCAGAUUGGGACUGAGACACGGCCCAGAUUCCUACGGGAGGCAGCAGUGGGGAAUCUUGCGCAAUGGGGGGAACCCUGACGCAGCGACGCCGCGUGCGGGACGGAGGCCUUCGGGUCGUAAACCGCUUUCAGCAGGGAAGAGUCAAGACUGUACCUGCAGAAGAAGCCCCGGCUAACUACGUGCCAGCAGCCGCGGUAAUACGUAGGGGGCGAGCGUUAUCCGGAUUCAUUGGGCGUAAAGCGCGCGUAGGCGGCCCGGCAGGCCGGGGGUCGAAGCGGGGGGCUCAACCCCCCGAAGCCCCCGGAACCUCCGCGGCUUGGGUCCGGUAGGGGAGGGUGGAACACCCGGUGUAGCGGUGGAAUGCGCAGAUAUCGGGUGGAACACCGGUGGCGAAGGCGGCCCUCUGAGCCGAGACCGACGCUGAGGCGCGAAAGCUGGGGGAGCGAACAGGAUUAGAUACCCUGGUAGUCCCAGCCGUAAACGAUGGACGCUAGGUGUGGGGGGACGAUCCCCCCGUGCCGCAGCCAACGCAUUAAGCGUCCCGCCUGGGGAGUACGGCCGCAAGGCUAAAACUCAAAGGAAUUGACGGGGGCCCGCACAAGCAGCGGAGCAUGUGGCUUAAUUCGAAGCAACGCGAAGAACCUUACCAGGGCUUGACAUAUGGGUGAAGCGGGGGAGACCCCGUGGCCGAGAGGAGCCCAUACAGGUGGUGCAUGGCUGUCGUCAGCUCGUGUCGUGAGAUGUUGGGUUAAGUCCCGCAACGAGCGCAACCCCCGCCGCGUGUUGCCAUCGGGUGAUGCCGGGAACCCACGCGGGACCGCCGCCGUCAAGGCGGAGGAGGGCGGGGACGACGUCAAGUCAUCAUGCCCCUUAUGCCCUGGGCUGCACACGUGCUACAAUGGCCGGUACAGAGGGAUGCCACCCCGCGAGGGGGAGCGGAUCCCGGAAAGCCGGCCCCAGUUCGGAUUGGGGGCUGCAACCCGCCCCCAUGAAGUCGGAGUUGCUAGUAAUCGCGGAUCAGCAUGCCGCGGUGAAUGCGUUCCCGGGCCUUGCACACACCGCCCGUCA